GUUUAUCUUGUCUAUCUCAAUUCCCAUCAACAAGCCACGUCAAGAUUACAACAUCAUCUUGAAUGAUGAUAAUUAUCUUUUCUUAAUAUAGACCAAGUUAUCCUAAUCUUGAUGAUUGGUUUUCCUUAAGACACUUGCUACUGUAAAUAGAACAUUUCUUCAUUCCAGAAUCAGACAAUCUGAGAAAAGCUUUAUAUCAAUCAGCAUUUUUCAAAGUGAGAGAAACACAGGUUAUUUUGAGUUUUGGACAGUGAGGAUAUUUUGAGAGAUAGUCUCUUGUAAUCUCCAAUUCCACAUGAUGAAAGCCAAACCACAUGAAAUCUUUGUGUCAUCACUUUCAUUUCUCUGGUUAUUAUUUUGUUGCUGAAUUGAAUUUUUCACACUCA
rnacentral:misc_RNA from 1 species